UUGUUUACCUCUAUUAAUUGCAAAAAAUUAUCACGAAGAUAUAAUCUGUUCGUGAUCUGAAUUGAUACUAAUUGUUUCCAACAGCGAUCUAAUUCAGAGUGAGAAUUGACUCUAUCUAUAUCUUCUUGUUUUCACGCGAGAAAAGUUUCGACAUUUAUUUAUGUAUCUGUACCGCGAUUUAAACAUUGAAACUGUACCGGGAACGUAACUUGAGCUUCAUAAAUAGACAGUGCACGGUUCAGAAACGAAACUACAAGGUUCGAGAAACGGCAUUAAUUAUUUAAGCUUAUCUUCCUUCCAUGGAUCAAGUUCAAGGUAUAGUUCGAGGAUCGAAAUUAUGACGACGUUGGGAUAUUUUGGGAUGAUUUGGAUUGUUUGAAUUCAAUUUUUCCGGUUAGAAGGAUUGGCCGCCGCUGUUCAAACACAAAAGCCCCCGCAAUCGCCAAGGAAAAACGAAUACGAGCCGAAGGCAGCACGCCAAUAUUGGCUUUUGAUAUUUAGAGAGAUACGACAACCGUGGACAUCUCCAGCCAGGAAUUUAUUACCGUGGAACACGGUGGUGUAUCUGUUGCGACCAACUCUUGGUCUCAAAGGUCUCAGGAACAAUUGAUUAAUUUGAUUACCCGUGGAGUGGCCACUUGUACAUUUCAAACCGAAUUGAUAUCAUCGAUAUUUAAAUCAGUUGCCGAGUCCAUUCUCCGUUUACGUGUAUAUAUAUAUAUAAGAAAAGGUUUUACAAUUAGAAUAAAAGGGACUCUAAAAUCCAUCAAUUGAGGAUUAUAAAAUGUAAAUACGAUUAUCACACACAUAUACACAGAGCAUAUGCGAAUUAACCAGGCAAUCUACUUUACUCGGCUAAUCUAUCAUACUUUUUACCCUCAUUAUCACCUCUCAAUCAACUAUGAAAGCCAUUUUAACGUACCAUUACCAAGAGAGCCUCAAGUACAAGAUUAUAGAAAGCGUUAGCUCGUUAAAAUAAACAAAAGUUUAAAAGCAGAUAUAUCAUCCCAUGAAAACGAGCCAAGAAACAAUCCAAGAACCAUCUUCCACCAGUCAUUGGACAACCGAGGAAUGGAAGAGAUCCCGCGCAAGGUGCACAUACAGCAGGUGGCUAUACCAUCUUGGAAAGGGUGAGAGUUCACUGUUCAGUCUUGCGCCGAGCCAUUGUAAGAGCAACGAACCGGCCAACCGGGGGCAAAGACGGCAGGCGCCUACUCGCUGCCACGAUCUCACCAAUCAUUUGCGCAUUCAACCAGCUACACCACCAACCCCAGUGGUUCUCCUUCCUCAUCACCGACCUAAUUCGACCACCGGCGGAUCCACCCCGAUAUUAUUAUUUCGAGGCUGUCGCUCGAACGCUUCGGGGAACGUAUUCGCAAGCUUUUUCUCUCGUCAGACGUUUCUUUCUUUCCGAGAUGAAUUUAAGAAUCGAAUUACGCCUUUGGAUAUGCUUUCGUUCCAAAUUCGUUGUCGAUCGAUUGCUCGCGUGUACGAAAAGAUGUUUUAUUUGUUGGGGAUUGGAUAUAGAAGGUAAGAUGUUGAUCACAUUUUUUUUAUUACAAUACGAUAGAAGAAAAUCGGAUAAAGAAAAUUUGAUGAAAAUAAUCCGAUGCAAAAUGAGAAGAAAGAAAAUGGAAAAAGUGUAUAAAGUAUAAAUUAAUAAAAUUCUAUGAAUAUAUGGAAGAAUGGAUAUUAAAAUAAAUAAAUGUUAACCCGAAAAAUUUGUACAUCGAAAUCUCUGCACCUUUUCUGUGCCGCUCCACCCUUCAAAAAAUACGAUACCUAUUUCAUCCUCGACGCGAGAAAAUCCUUUCGCGGAUCCUCCAUCACACCAUUUCAAGAUUCUAUAACGAUAAUUUUGAAAAGGGUCGAAUAACCGGGAGAAGUUUCGCGAUUACUGCCUGAAUUCUCGGAAAAUUGCUACGUUCUCCCUCUAGCGGGUAUCUCGGUGCUUGGUUAACCGCUUUCAGAAAAAUAAGCGAUACGAGGGGUUGAACUGCGCUAAACGCGGUGGAAAAAACUUCAAGUGGUGCGAAAUAUAAAACGUUAAACACGCAAAGGAUAAGAAAGAGAGGGCGGGGGAGGAGGGGGAACUAUGCAUUCCGCUAGCAUAAUGAUCUCACCAUUUCUCGCAUCCGUUCGCGCCUAUAACGCGUGAAACCCGCGUGAAACAGUAACGAUCCGUCACAGUAAAUUCUCUGUAAACACACCUGACGUCGAGGUUUACACUCGAGUCGCGAUAAAUUUCUUAAUUCUUUCAGAGGGUGACCAUGCCUCCCAAGCGGAGAGACGUGCUUCCUUUCCUUUCUUCUCUUUUCUUUUUUUUUCUUCCUUUUUUUUCUUCUACCUCUUUACUUCCCCCCCCCCCAGUUUCAAUUCUUCGCGGUGACGCAACAAUGCAUACAAGUGGAGUAAAUCCAUGCCGGUUUUCACACGGUUUGUGCAUAGCGGGCAAAUGUAAAUGAAAGUGGGGCAAGAAGACGAAUUGCAAUCUUUUCAUAUAUGCGGGGCCCGGAUAACCGGGGCUAGGAUUUGUCAAAAUAACACCGAUAAAAAGUCGGCCACAAGUGGAAUUUUAACGUGUUCAUGUUGGCGGAAUCACGAGACAAGGGUUAUUAACGUCGCUUUGCCUCUUCCGCGGUUGAUUUAUGGAGAUUCCGAUACCGAUUGGCUUUCCCUGUGUUUUAACUUUCGACUCUUAAGGCCGUGCUUGAAACCAGGUCACUAGAUUUUUCGCGAAUUUUUUCGAAAUAUUUAAUAACUCUUUAUAAAUUCUUUUCAGCAUUGAAACGAUAUCCGUAUUAAUCGAUGGGAAGAGAAGGAAUAAUUCAUAAAAAUUAUCGUUUCGUUGUAAAGAAUAGAAAAGAAUAGAGAUUUUAAAUAUUGAUUGUGUCAAAUUUAUUUGGAUAAAACGUUACAUAAAAAUUAAUUCCAAAAAGAAUUAGAAAUAUCAUCUUGAAAUACAAAUUCUACUUAAAUGGUUGAGAUUUUAAUAUAAAACUUCAAUAUAAAAAUUAAAUACAAAAUUAAUAAUUAACUGGCCUCGUUAACGUAAUACACUCCGUUCGAAACUGCCACACUCGAAAAUUUUGUCGAUACAAGAUACUCGACCGAGAUAAUAAUCCUCCCCUAAAAAUAAGACCGACCACAACUUUCCACAGUGCUUUGUUCUCGACUCAUACGUCAAUUACCAAAAAAUUUAUUAGAAUCCAUAGCCGAGCAUUUACCUCCAAGCGGCGAAAACUGGGCGAAUUCCGGCAAAUCGAAAGUUUUUAACGCGUUCGAGCUAUUCACCUCUCGAUUCCGCGCGAAUGAAAUUGUCGAGAAUUCGAAACUUCAUUUUCCCUGUCGCCACGGUAGAGGCUUUAUUUUAAUAAUUGAACGAACCGCCUCCCUCCUCCACCGUUAUCCACGAUUCCUUCCAGCUCUCCCCGUCAUCGUCGAACAAGCCGGUUCGAAAGAUCGAUUCAAAUCGAUUCAGAUCGAAUACGAGUCGUCACGAAUGUGAAUAAUAGCGAUAAAGUCGAAUGGAGAUAAAUUCUCGGUAGCAAGGUGGAACGAUACUCGAAAGGUCGAGGUUCAUUACGGAAGUUCAAAUAUUAAAAAGUUCGCUCGAUCGACACCGCGAUUCCUCUAUUCAAAGAGGAGGGGAGGAGGGGGGGCUCUUUGUGGAUUUAUUUAACAAAUUCAUCGGACUGCAACCCCUUGGGACUCGAACGAAUGGAUUAUGAUGUAUUAUAUUCGAAUCACCGCGAAAGCUUUGGAAAGAGGACGUCCGAGUGUUUGCCGAUAAACUUAGCCGGCAUAAUGUACGAAGGAAGAAAAGGGAAAAGGUUAAAAGCUUGGAUGGAAAGUUUGGAGUAAGAUUGUGAAUUGUUUGGAAAGAUUUGAAUUUGAAAGUAGCGGAAUUAUCGUCCUUUCUUUUUCCGAUGAAUUUUUUGAAAUCUUAUUAAUUUUAUCGUUAAUUUGUUUUAAUUAAUAAUUUGUACGAGGAAAGGAAGAGGAAAAGGAUUUGGUUAAAAACUUGUAAAAAGUUCGAAGUAAGAUUGUAAUCGUUUCUUCGAGUAAAUUGGUUUCUAUUCCAGAAAUUUUAUAGCACGUUUGGUUAUAUCGAAUAAAUUGAAUAUCGUAAGGAUUCGUUACGUCAUAAUAAUAAAUGUCAGAUGCACAGGAUAAAUAAUUCGAUAUUGAAUUAAUUAAAUUGUAAGAGAAUGAUGACACGACUCGUGUGAACUGUUGCAUAAAUAUAUGAAACAAUAUUAAUCUCAAGGCAUAAAAAAAUCUAAUUGAAGAUUACAUGGAAUAUAAAUCAUUACUGCUUGCUACUAGAAAUUAAUUAACUAUAAUUUCCCUAGAUGAUUCAAAUUAAUUAUUGCACCAUGCAUACGCAGUCGACAUGUAAUACAAUCAUUAUCAAGUCACAAAUCAAAAACAGUUUUUUAAUUCGUGCAUUAGAAUUGCUACUACGAAUUUAUUCUUUCAAUUUAUCGUGAAACAAAAUAUUUCUCGCUAAGAAAAAUCUUUUGGGAAAAGAUUAAUUCAUUAUUUAUUCAUUUCUUACUUGAUAAUCAUAAAACAGAAGAUUUCCUACUGGACAGAUAUUUUCCAUUCAGAUCUUAGAAGAAGGUUUAUUUCAUUCGUUUAUUUAUACAAUUCUUACUCUGAUACGAAAACAGAAGAUGGAAUAAAUGGAACGUUUUAUCUCGAAUUUGCACGAAAAAAAAAAAACAAAAAAAGAAAAUUCACAAAACCACAUAUAUACAUGAGCAAUAGUCCCGCAUAUCACUUUGAAAUAUGCAUUGGGACUGUAAUCACUCAUCAAUGUUUUUGUUAUACAUUUUUUUUUAAACAAAUAACCCGAUGUCACGUUCCUCGAUACUUUGCAAAUAAAGUGGAUAUUUCGAGCAUGGCCACUCGUGACCGGACAAUCGCAAUUUUCGGUCGGAAGGUUCGAUUUCAUUUUAAAUGAAUUAUAUUUUAAAAUUCGAUGGUGUAUAGGUGUACACGUAUAUAUAAAUUACAUGCAACUCCCACGGCAAACUUCCACGCAAACGUAAUCUGUCCCCCUCGUAAUUUUCGAUAGAGGCAGAGAAAUUUAUUGCCACGCUGUGUAUCCCAGACAUUCCGCUCUUCGUGAUCAUUUCGCACAAAUUGAAACGGUCAAUCGAACCGUUUCCCUUUCGAUUCCUCUGUCAUUUAUUCGUCUAUCGAUCUAUUCCAGAAACGAGCACGAUAUACGAUUAAUAAUCGAUCGAUGAUUUGCGGUUUCUUUUAAUGAAUUUUGCCCUUUCAGCUAAUUGAAUAGUUUUUUCUACUGGAUGUAAAA